rnacentral:lncRNA from 1 species
AUGAGUCUUUGUUUUGUGACUUACUUAGAGAGAAAGAGGCGUCGUUAUUUGAGAGAACGGGCCGUGGUGGAGAUGUUACACGACCCCACGUUUAUUCCUCAGAAUUCUGAUCCAAAUUCCAGUCCAAACCAAGGCCAUGAUCCUGAGAGAGUCAGGCGUACACCAAGUAUGUGGCAUAUGUGCACAAGGUCUGCACCAGCCCCUGUGAAAGUAACUGAAAGACUGGAUAGAGUAGAGAGUAAUCAGGAAGGUAGGAUGGAGGAACUGUCUGCUGUGCUUCAUCGUGAUGAGCCCUGUGAACCCGUGGUGAGAUGGGACACAGCUGAUGAGGAUCAGGAUGAUCAAAACAGCCUGCUGGAGGGGCUGAUCAAACUGGUUUCCUCCCAGCCUGCAUCAUCCAGUGUCUCAGCUGUUAAGACGUCCUCCUGGCUUGCGGAAUCAAACUCUAUAAUCCAGAGAUGGGUUAUAAAGCAGGUAUGUUUAUUCCAGCGUUGCGCAGUGCCAGGUGCAAGGGGGAUAGCUCCUUCAAACUUGCACACCGACUUGUAAAAUCGGGACACAGUUAUAGGUACAUUUAAUACAUAGUCAAUGAUUUCUCGGAAUUCUGAUACAUAGUCAAUGAUUUCUUAGACUUCUAAUACAUAGUCAAUAGUUCUAGGAAUUCUGGUACAUAUUCAAUAGCUCUUUAGCAUACAGACCCCCUCUUUGUCUUUAGCAUACAGGACCCCUUGUUCUUAUCAGGGGAAUGCAACUCCUCUUCUGGUCGUCCGUGAGUUUCACACCUUAUCUGCAUCCUCCCUGCUCUCUCAAGCCCCUUGUUUCUUUUACUUGUUACCUUUAAGUUUCUUUUACUUAUUUCUAUAAACUACCUUUAAGUUUCCUUUACUUGUUUCUAUAAACUACCUUUAACUAUCCCCCUUUUAGCCCCCCUUUAUUCCGAAUUCCAGCAGAACAUCUGUUUCCUGCUUCACUGUUCAAUCCAGCUCAAGCAAGUGACAACAGUAAGAUUAUGUUGCGUAUUGCCUUGUGGAAUUGCUUGCGUGAGCAUGGAGAAAAUAUGAAGAAGUGGCAUAAAAAAAACCCCUCCUGCACUUCAAGCAUGCAUAAAAGAAUAGCAAGACAGAUCAGCCUCCAUGGCGAUCUCUUCUAAAAAGGUGAUCGCUCCAGUUGCUGUGGGACGGGAUUAUUGUACUGUAUUGUGUUAUCUUGCAUUCCGAUAUUACAUUUAGUAAAUUAGCUUUCCUCCUCAGAUUGUUGCCGCUGUUUUGUUUUUAGGCUCAUCUCCCUACCCUUUCCCCCAUUUCCUGACCCUCUUUCUACCCUGUAGAAGUCUCUCCCAACCCCCCAGCUUUCCCCUUCCACCCCUCACCUCCCCUUCAGGCCCCCUUUACUCCCCUUAGAAGAAGCCUUACUCACCCCAUUCCCCCCUACACAUCUUCCUCCCCAUUGCCCCAAGUUUCAAGUUUCCCCUCCAGGCUCCCUUUCCACCCCAUAGAAACCUAUCCCCUGUCUUCCUCACCAGUGUUGUUUUUUUCUUUUGAUUUUUUCU